GUACUCUUGUUUAUAAUUGAAUCAUACCCGUAACAUAUUCAUUAAUAUAGAUAUGGUUUUCCAUCCAACUCCUGAUGGGCGUAUUAUGUUCCUCACAGGUACUCUUGUUUAUAAUUGAAAUCAGACAUUACUUAAA